UACAGGGGGGGCAAGCGUUGUUCGGAAUUACUGGGCGUAAAGGGCUCGUAGGCGGCCAACUAAGUCACACGUGAAAUCCCCAGGCUUAACCUGGGAACUGCGUGUGAUACUGGAUGGCUUGAAUUCGGGAGAGGGAUGCAGAAUUCCAGGUGUAGCGGUGAAAUGCGUAGAUAUCUGGAGGAACACCGGUGGCGAAGGCGGCAUCCUGGACCAACACUGACACUGAAACGCGAAAGCCAGGGGAGCAAACGGG
rnacentral:rRNA from 1 species